UACGUAGGGUGCAAGCGUUAAUCGGAAUUACUGGGCGUAAAGCGUGCGCAGGCGGUUGUGCAAGACAGAUGUGAAAUCCCCGGGCUUAACCUGGGAACUGCAUUUGUGACUGCACGGCUAGAGUGCGGCAGAGGGGGACGGAAUUCCGCGUGUAGCAGUGAAAUGCGUAGAUAUGCGGAGGAACACCGAUGGCGAAGGCAAUCCCCUGGGCCUGCACUGACGCUCAUGCACGAAAGCGUGGGGAGCAAACAGG
rnacentral:rRNA from 1 species